rnacentral:rRNA from 1 species
UACGUAGGGGGGCAAGCGUUGUCCGGAAUCAUUGGGCGUAAAGAGCGUGUAGGCGGCCCGAUAAGUCCGCUGUGAAAGUCCAGGGCUCAACCCUGGAAUGCCGGUGGAUACUGUCGGGCUCGAAUCCGGAAGAGGUGAGUGGAAUUCCUGGUGUAGCGGUGAAAUGCGCAGAUAUCAGGAGGAACACCAAUGGCGAAGGCAGCUCACUGGGACGGUAUUGACGCUGAGACACGAAGGCCAGGGGAGCAAACGGG